rnacentral:lncRNA from 1 species
CGACACUCUCUCCUCCACGCGAAGCAGAGAUCGUUCAAUCUCUGUUCAGAUCGCCCAACGCCAGCAAAAAUAGAGCCCAAUCAGUAGCUUCGGAGCCAUUCCCUCUUCUUCUAGUCGCAGUGUUCGAAGGUUUUGUACCCAAUAGAUGCGUCCCCCUGUUUUGGUUUUAGAUCACAAGUCCAGCAAUUCAGGUAAGUUUUCUUGGACAUAAAUUUCAAUUUCUGUUUUUAUUUGCUUGGAUUUGUGUUGGGUAUUACAUUGGGACAAUGUAAGUUAAGUGUGGGGGAGGAAAUUUUGAGCUAGAAAAAUCAUUAAUAUGAAAUAGGGUUCUAAAUUUGCUGAAAUUUGGGUUCAAUUGCUAAUUGUUUUGGUUAAAUUUUGCUGGGUAUUGUAAUAAUCAGC